rnacentral:rRNA from 1 species
AAUAGAUACCCGGGUAGUCCACGCCGUAAACGAUGAGUGCUAAGUGUUAGGGGGUUUCCGCCCCUUAGUGCUGCAGCUAACGCAUUAAGCACUCCGCCUGGGGAGUACGGUCGCAAGACUGAAACUCAAAGGAAUUGACGGGGGCCCGCACAAGCGGUGGAGCAUGUGGUUUAAUUCGAAGCAACGCGAAGAACCUUACCAGGUCUUGACAUCCCAUUGACCACUAUGGAGACAUAGUUUUCCCUUCGGGGACAACGGUGACAGGGGGUGCAUGGUUGUCGUCAGCUCGUGUCGUGAGAUGUUGGGUUAAGUCCCGCAACGAGCGCAACCCGUGUUCUUAGUUGCCAUCAUUUAGUUGGGCACUCUAAGGAGACUGCCGGUGACAAACCGGAGGAAGGUGGGGAUGACGUCAAAUCAUCAUGCCCCUUAUGACCUGGGCUACACACGUGCUACAAUGGACGGUACAAACGGUUGCCAACCCGCGAGGGGGAGCUAAUCCGAUAAAACCGUUCUCAGUUCGGAUUGUAGGCUGCAACUCGCCUACAUGAAGCCGG